UAGGGGCGCUUGUGGGGCUGCCCCACACUUAUGGGGCGCUCACCGUCGGGCAGGUCGGGGUCGAGGUGGAGGUCGAAGACGCGCAGCUCCCGCAGGUCGGGUUCCUCCUCCAGCAGGAGGCGCACGAGGUGGCGGCCCAGGAAGCCGCAGCCGCCCGUCACAACGAACACCAAACCCGGGAUGGGGGGCGGAGGCUGUGGGGCACAAAUGUGGGGCACUGAUGUGGGGCACGGGGAUCAAGUGGGGGGGGCCAGGAACCGGAGAAUCCCCAUUGGGCUCUGUCAUGGGGGGCCCAGACCCAAAGGGUCCCAUUCGUGACCCAUAGGAUCCCAUAAUGUGGGUCCCAGACCCAUAGGAUCCCAUUUCUGACCCAUAGGAUCCCAUUCCUGACCCAUAGGAUCCCAUUAUGUGGGUCCCGGACCCAUAGGGUCCAAUUCCUGACCCACAGAACCCCAUAUGGCUCCGUUAUGGGGGUCCCAGACCCAUAGGAUCCUAUUCCUGACCCACAGAAUCCCAUAAUGUGGGUUCCUGACCCAUAGGAUCCCAUUAUGUGGGUCCCAGACCCAUAGAAUCCCAUUCCUGACCCAUAGACACCCCAUAGGGCCUCGUUAUGGGGGUCCCAGACCCAUAGGAUCCCAUUCCUGACCCAUAGGAUCCCAUUAUGUGGGUCCCAGACCCAUAGGAUCCCAUUCCUGACCCAUAGGAUCCCAUUAUGUGGGUCCCGAACCCAUAGGAUCCCAUUCCUGACCCAUAGGAUCCCAUUAUGUGGGUCCCAGACCCAUAGGAUCCCAUUCCUGACACAUAGGAUCCUAUUAUGUGGGUCCCAGACCCAUAGGAUCCCAUUCCUGACCCAUAGGAUCCCAUUAUGUGGGUCCCAGACCCAUAGGAUCCCAUUCCUGACCCAUAGGAUCCCAUUAUGUGGGACCCAGACCCAUAGGAUCCCAUUCCUGACCCAUAGGAUCCCAUUAUGUGGGUCCCAGACCCAUAGGAUCCCAUUCCUGACCCAUAGGAUCCCAUUAUGUGGGACCCAGACCCAUAGGAUCCCAUUCCUGACCCACAGAAUCCCAUAAUGUGGGUUCCAGACCCAUAGGAUCCCAUUAUGGGGGUCCCAGACCCAGAGGGUCCCGUUCCUGACCCAUAGGAUCCCAUUAUGUGGGUCCCAGACCCAGAGGGUCCCGUUCCUGACCCAUAGGAUCCCAUUAUGUGGGACCCAUAGGACCCCACAGGUCCCCAUAAUGUGAGUCCAGGACCCCAUAGGACCCCACAGGACCCUAUAAUGUGAGACUGGGAUGCAUAGGACCCCAUAGGACCCCACAGGUCCCCAUAAUGUGGGUCCAGGACCCAUAGGACCCCAUAGGACCCCAUAAUGUGGGUCCAGGACCUCAUAGGACCCCAUAGGACCCCACAAGACCCCAUAGUGUGGAUCCAGGACCCCAUAAGACCUCAUAGGACCCUAUAACGUGGGUCCAGGACCUCAUAGGACACCAUAGGACCCUAUAAUGUGGGUCCAGGUCCCCAUAGGACACCAUAGGGCCCUAUAAUGUGGGUCCAGGACCCCAUAGGAACCCAUUUAUUUGGGUCCAGGACUCCAUAGGACCCCACAGGACCCCAUAGUGACCCCACAGGACCCCAUAGAACCCUAUAAUGUGGGUCCAGGACCCCAUAGGACCCCACAGGACCCUAUAAUGUGGGUCCAGGACCCCAUAGGAACCCAUUUAUUUGGGUCCAGGACUCCAUAGGACCCCACAGGACCCCAUAGUGUGGGUCCAGGACCCCAUAGGACCCCAUAGGGCCCUAUAAUGUGGGUCCAGGACCCCAUAGGACCCCAUAGAACUCCAUAGGAUCCCGCAGGACCCCAUAAUGU
ensembl:lncRNA